UACAGAGGUCUCGAGCGUUGUUCGGAUUCAUUGGGCGUAAAGGGUGCGUAGGUGGUCAGGUAAGUCGGAUGUGAAAUCCCGGGGCUCAACCUCGGAACUGCAUUCGAUACUGCCUGACUGGAGUACUGGAGAGGAGAUUGGAAUUUACGGUGUAGCAGUGAAAUGCGUAGAUAUCGUAAGGAAGACCAGUGGCGAAGGCGGAUCUCUGGACAGUUACUGACACUGAGGCGCGAAGGCCAGGGGAGCAAACGGG
rnacentral:rRNA from 1 species